rnacentral:rRNA from 1 species
GACGAACGCUGGCGGCGUGCUUAACACAUGCAAGUCGAGCGGAAAGGCCACUUCGGUGGUACUCGAGCGGCGAACGGGUGAGUAACACGUGAGUAAUCUGCCCCUGGCUUUGGGAUAGCCACCGGAAACGGUGAUUAAUACCGGAUACGACCACUUCUCGCAUGGGAUGGUGGUGGAAAGUUUUUCGGCCAGGGAUGUGCUCGCGGCCUAUCAGCUUGAUGGUGAGGUAAUGGCUCACCAUGGCUUCGACGGGUAGCCGGCCUGAGAGGGUGACCGGUCACACUGGGACUGAGACACGGCCCAGACUCCUACAGGAGGCAGCAGUGGGGAAUAUUGGACAAUGGGCGGAAGCCUGAUCCAGCAACGCCGCGUGAGGGAUGACGGCCUUCGGGUUGUAAACCUCUUUCAGUACCGACGAAGCGCAAGUGACGGUAGGUACAGAAGAAGCACCGGCCAACUACGUGCCAGCAGCCGCCGUAACAC